rnacentral:rRNA from 1 species
CAGUUCGGACUGUAGGCUGCAACUCGCCUCACGAAGUUGGAAUUGCUAGUAAUCGCGGAUCAGCAUGCCGCGGUGAAUACGUUCCCGGGCCUUGUACACACCGCCCGUCACACCAUGGGAGUCGGUAACACCCGAAGCCAGUAGCCUAACCGCAAGGGGGCGCGGCCGAAGGUGGGUCCGGUAAUUGGGGUGAAGUCGUAACAAGGUACC